rnacentral:lncRNA from 1 species
AUGUCUCCACUGGGCUUUCAGUCGAAGCUCGACAGAAUGAUUGCGGCCCUGGCAUCUGCACUUUCUCACGCAUGUGGGCAACCAGCCAGGGCCAGCAGAAAGGCCUCCGCUCAGGGGGGUGAACAGCCUCUGCCCUCCUGUCAACAAGACCCUCAACUGGUGAGUGACACCCUCCUGAAAUCCCGGCCUCAGCCGUCGGAUGAGGAGCAUCAAAGUGCAAGCCCCCAGCAGGCCCCAAGACCUGGACGGCUCCGUCAGGGUGAUGCCACAGGAGGGGACACUGAGAGCCCAGGUUCCGGACACAGGCACGGAGCCUUUCCUGAGCUGCAGAGAAAGAUAUGGCAGGUGGAAGACAUCAUGGACGAACUGAAUAAAGAGUUCUUCCAGCUCACUGCUCAAGCCCUAGAGCUCCAGAAAGAAGAGCACCAGCCAGACCACCUGCCCCCAAGGAAACACAGUACAUUUGCGGUGGUUCCCAGCAUCUUCCCUCAUGCAGAGCAGGAAGACAGACCUAACCCAGCAGAGGCAGGCGGCCCAGACAGAAAGAGUGUGGGAACCUGGGCCCUGAAGAGCGAGCAGGCCCUGAUCCUGGCGGUGAGGAGAGCCUGCCUGGUUCAGAGGAUCCAAGGCCUGGACUGGGAGCUGUCCCUGCUCCUCCAGGUGGCAGAGGGCAGCACGUGUGCAGGAGGGAGCCAGCCCAGCCUGGGGAGACGCUGAGUCACACAGGGUGCUGCGGUGGCCAUCUGUGGCAGUGCCUUCUCCACAAAGAACAUGGCCAGGUUACUCUGCGCACUCCAGGCAGGAAGACGUAGGCGUCUGAGGGCCCGCCCUGGCUGGGAGUGUGAGCUCGGUUAUGGCAUGCUCCUAUCUGGUAACGCCCAGGUUUCUUUCAGAGCCUGGACCUCGGCUUGUGCUGAUUGCUAUCUGUGAUCCUUUGGGGUGAGGGAAAAUAAAGUCACACAGGUUGAGAAUAUCA